CAGCGCGCUUGGAAUAAAAUCCUCUUGCAGUUUGCAUCAAGACCGCUUCUUAUGAAUCAUCUGCAUGUGGAGUUCAUGGCAGCAUUACAGAGAAAGGUAGCUGAGCCAAAAUAGCUCCAUUAGACUGAAAAAAGAGAGCUCACUUUUAAAUGAAGACUGAGAAGUACAAGAAGAAUGUGGGCUCUUGAAGGUGUAUCAUUCUGAGCUGCUGAAUAUUUAAAUGUUUGCCAGAUGGACUUAAGCUUUUGUUUCUGUUUUUUUAAACCCCUAUUUUCAUUAUGAGUGAACUGUUUUGAAAUAAAAGCAUUUUGACUUUCA